rnacentral:lncRNA from 1 species
GUGUAGAGUUUAUCUUCCCAUCUUAGAGAGCUGACCUAUGUGGGUGUCGGGGAAUUGGUUUACCCUUUCGCAGUGCAGAGCAUGGUUGGUCCCUCGGGUGGCGCAAUUCUUGCGAUGAGUCUCUAAAAAAGGCGCAGUUUUUUUUUAAGUGCAGGAGUGAUCGGUUGUUGUAAGCAUGCAGUCGAGCCAAGUUAUGAUUACUUUUGAAUUCCUAAUUGAAAAACGAGUGAAACGAACGAGAACUUAGUUAUAAGGUAGGAACUGCAUAACAACUGGAUAGUCAUCGGCUUGUGAGGUGGUGUCCGUUGAGCUGCUUGAGUCUUCGGGCUUUAAUGUAACAGGAGGUCAC